UUUAAAUUUUUUGGAGCCCAAAUUAUUGUUUUGUUUCUCUAUAAAUAGCAGCUCAUUAGCUGCUAACUCACACUUGCAGAGCCCAAAUUCACUCUACAAACUCUCUCUCUCUAUUUUAUGGUUUUUAUUCUCUCCCUCUGUAUUUUAUGGUCUUUAUGUUUCUAUGUCGUACUCUCAUUUUUUGCAGUUUAGUUCUUCUAUUUCUUUUUUUUUUUGUUUUUAUGUUUAUAUGUAAGAUACUAAGAGAUUAUUACAACAAUUAUUUCUAAUUUAUACAUGAAGAGGCUGAUAUUUUUCUGAAUUUUUCUUUCAAGAUGAAGAUGAAGAUCUGUAUCUAUCAAUAGAGCAUGGAAGUGGUUAUCUCUUGGAUCUGCAAAAGCAACCAAAAAAAUGAAUUUAGUGUAUAUUUUAAUGAUCAGGAACUCUACUAUUGUAUAUGUGAACUUUUUCUUCAUACCCACAAAGGAAUUGGUUUUUUUUCUGUUAUUUUUCUGCUAAAACAAUUUUUUACUUAUUUUCAAGCAUCAUCAAUAGACUAAUCCGAGAAUCAGCUCAAAUUUUCAAAGAAAAAAACGAUAAUCAGUUUAAAUUCUUUUAAAUCAAAAAUGCAAAUAAAGGAAAAAAAAAAGUGCAGUUGAAAUUCAUCAAAGAUGCAAAUAAAGUAAAAAAAAAGUGAAAAUAGGAAAGAACAUAAAAUUAUGCGGAAAAAAAUAAAGAUGUUCAUAGAGAUC